UUUGACAGAAGGAAGUGAGAUCCUUUCUGUAGAAAUCAAAAUUCUUUGUGCUCGAACACCGCUGUCAAG
rnacentral:tRNA from 1 species